UACGCAGGGGGCAAGCGUUGUCCGGAUUUAUUGGGCGUAAAGAGCGUGUAGGCGGCUAGGUAGGUCCGUUGUGAAAACUCGAGGCUUAACCUCGAGAUGUCGGCGGAAACCAUCUGGCUAGAGUCCGGAAGAGGAGAAUGGAAUUCCCGGUGUAGCGGUGAAAUGCGCAGAUAUCGGGAAGAACACCCGUGGCGAAGGCGGUUCUCUGGGACGGUACUGACGCUGAGACGCGAAAGCGUGGGGAGCGAACAGG
rnacentral:rRNA from 1 species